rnacentral:rRNA from 1 species
AUUGAACGCUGGCGGCAUGCUUUACACAUGCAAGUCGAACGGCAGCGCGGUCUUCGGCCUGGCUGCGAGUGGCGAACGGGUGAGUAAUACAGCGGAACGUGCCCAGCAGUGGGUGCUAGCGGGGCGAAAGCCGGAUUAAUACCGCAUACGACCUUAGGGUGAACGCGUGAGAUCUUCGGACCUCGCGCUAUUGCAGCGGUCGAUGGCCGAUUAGCUAGUUGGUGGGGUAAAGGCCUACCAAGGCGACGAUCGGUAGCUGGUCUGAGAGGACGACCAGCCACACUGGGACUGAGACACGGCCCAGACUCCUACGGGAGGCAGCAGUGGGGAAUGUUGGACAAUGGGCGCAAGCCUGAUCCAGCCAUGCCGCGUGUGUGAUGAAGGCCUUCGGGUUGUAAAGCACUUUUGGCGGGAACGAAAAGGACUGUGCCAAUACCACGGUGCGAUGACGGUACCCGAAGAAUAAGCACCGGCUAACUACGUG